rnacentral:misc_RNA from 1 species
GAUGAAGAACGUAGCGAAAUGCGAUAGGUAAUGUGAAUUGCAGAAUUCAGUGAAUCAUCGAAUCUUUGAACGCACCUUGCGCCCUUUGGCUAUUCCGAAGGGCAUGCCUGUUUGAGUAUCGUGAACACCUCAACUCUCAUGGUUUGCCAUGAUGAGCUUGGACUUUGGGGGUUUUGCUGGCCUUUGGUCGGCUCCUCUCAAACGGAUCAGCUUUCCAGUGUUUGGUGGCGUCACGGGUGUGAUAACUAUCUACGCCUGUGGUUUUCUGCCAGAUAACCUUCAGCGAUGGAGGUUCGCUGGGGCUCAUAAAUGUCUCUCUUCAGUGGAGACAGCUUUUUGGACGUUUGAUCUCAAAUCAGGUAGGACUACCCGCUGAACUUAAGCAUAUCAAUAAGCGGAGGA